rnacentral:rRNA from 1 species
CAGCCGCCGCGGGAAUACGAAGGGUGCAAGCGUUACUCGGAAUUACUGGGCGUAAAGCGUGCGUAGGCGGUUGGUUAAGUCUGCUGUGAAAGCCCUGGGCUCAACCUGGGAACUGCAGUGGAAACUGGCCAGCUAGAGUGUGUCAGAGGAUGGUGGAAUUCCCGGUGUAGCGGUGAAAUGCGUAGAGAUCGGGAGGAACACCAGUGGCGAAGGCGGCCAUCUGGGACAACACUGACGCUGAGACGCGAAAGCUAGGGGAGCGAACGGGAUUAGAUACCCGUGUAGUCCCUGUCUCUUAUAC